rnacentral:rRNA from 1 species
UACGUAGGGACCGAGCGUUGUCCGGAAUCAUUGGGCGUAAAGAGCGUGUAGGCGGCUAUUUAAGUCCUGCGUGAAAUCCUGCGGCUCAACCGCAGACGGUCGUGGGAAACUGGAUGGCUAGAGUGCGGGAGAGGAGAGUGGAAUUCCCGGUGUAGCGGUGAAAUGCGCAGAUAUCGGGAAGAACACCCGUGGCGAAGGCGGGUCUCUGGGCCGAUACUGACGCUGAGGAGCGAAAGCGUGGGGAGCGAACAGG